AUGGAUCUUUGGCAAAAACUUAUUCUCCAUCUUCAUAGCAAAGUGUUCCUAUCUGCUGCUGACUCCAGGAGUCCAGUCUGGGACUUUUCAAGGGCCGACCCUGCAGCCUCUGUGGUGAUGUGCUAAGAGAACAAAAAAAAACAAACCAUGACACCAAAACACCAGCAAAACCACCCAACAACAACAAAAAUUGAUACAUUAUUCAUGCCAGAGAAAGAGAGACAGUGAUGGAAAAAGUAAAUAACAGACCACUGAGGGUACUGGCACACUCAGUCAGGACUACUUUCCUGAAUCUUCUGAGUUUCCUGACCUGACAAGAAAAAAAUGACCGUGAUUC